GCUGGGUGCAGUGGCACACACCUGUAAUCCCAGCAGCUUGGGAGGCUGAGGCAGGAGAAUCACAAGUUCAAAGUGAGCUUCAGCAAUUUAGCAAGACCUUGUCUCAA
rnacentral:sRNA from 1 species